rnacentral:sRNA from 1 species
UUUCUCCUCCUUGCCACCUGGUACAUUUCUGGCAAAUGACACCCUUUUAGCCUUCUUCGCAGGGGCGACGGAAGCUUCUGAGAUACGACGCUUCUUGGGCUUGAAAGAAGAUGGAGAUGGAAGUCGGAGUUCCGGCUCGGGAGAAGAUCCCGACUCAGAGGGCUCUGUACCCUCCGAAAGUUCGAGAACUUCCCCUUCAUCUGAGCCAAUAAUGACGGGCUCAUCAUCGAGCUCAUCGUGGGGUUCAUCAUCGGAGGCGGACGCACGUUCUAUGCCGUCCUCGUCCUCGUCUUCCUGCUCCUCGUCAAUCUCUUCCUCGUCAUCAAUCUCGUCGUCGUCGUCGUCGUCGGAGGUAGCAGUCAUUAUCGCGGUAUAGUCAUCGUCAAGGAUAAUCUAGCGAGUUUAAGUCAGUUACGUCGCUGUUUCUCUUGGCCGAACACUUACUUCACGCUCAUCAAUCUCCCCGCCUUUGAAUCUAAUCAUUCCCUUACUACUUUCCUUUUUCAUUUCCUUUUUGCCUCGGCAUUUUUCAAGUAUUUCAGUCAUGUCAUACUUGUCAGUCGCGUUAGAACCGUCGACAUCCAUCUUGGAAGCAGACGUAGAGGAAGGCAAAGAGUAGUAAGGGAAGUUGUUGUGUGCCCAGUCACGCAGAAGAACACGAGCGGCUCCUUCUAGAUCGGGUUCGCCAUGCUAUCGCCGACCAGUCAAAAAGGCUUCCAGAUCACCCUUCUCAAAGAAGGGGAUGUUAUAAGCCAACAUCAAGUCUUGGUGGUUGGAUCUUUCUACGAUGUAGCUCACUGCACAGUCGUCAAUCGCUUCUCUUUUUACUGGAACGCCUUGUUGGGAAAUUUACCUAAAGGGAAAACAUCCUUAACUCUGUCUACGCGGCCUAGAUUUCUUCUUAAAAGAUCCCCGGAGAGUUUAGCUUCAAGCCUAUCCCAUUUUUCCGGAUCUUGUUCAUCUUCGUCUUCGUCUUCAUCUUCAUCCUUCUCAUCUUCCACCGGCUCCCAACCGGGAGUGUCGAUGACCUUUAAUUUCAAACCAUCAACAUCUAUCUCGACCUCGACAGGUGUUUUCGUCGUAGGUUGAAGAGACUUGGCUGAUUGGCCGGAUGGGAUAAGAGGGGCAACAACGCGUCGAGACUUGUUGGCAGUGGAAGGGACAAGAGAGUUGAGGAUAGAAGUUUUACCAACAGAUGGCAGCCCCAUAAGGGCGAGGACCAGAGGCUCGUCACUCUUUCGGGACUUUUUCUUCUCCGCAGACCACUUUUUAGCUGCAGCAAUAAGUUGCUCGCGUCCGAGAAUGACAGAAGGAUCCAAGAAAAAAGAUGGUCCCGGGUCUCUGGAUGACGAUGGGGUGGGGGGUACAGGAAGAGCAGAUUUGAAAAGGAACGUCGGGAUAUCAAGUUGGGAAAUCCACGACUGCAGAACCUCUCGAGGUACAAGAUCGAUUUUAUUGAUAAUCAGGAUAAUCCUGCCCUCGGUCUCCUUGACGAGCUUUUCAAUAUACCCACUUCUUCCACCAAGGACGUCCCUCGCGUCGACGACCUCACAAAUGACAUCAGCUCGGUCCAAAGCUUCCUGAAGAGUCGGUAGGGCAGUGUCAAUAAGUUCAGGAAUAUCGAAAUCCUCAGAAGGAGUCACGACAAUCGAAGAGGUAGCGGUGAGUGGAACACGAUCCAGAACGGUACGACCAAGAGACGAUACACCGGGCGUAUCGGCCUCGUCCUCGGCACCGGUAGACUUUUGAGCUUUGGCGGCUUCUCUACGAGCGAUCUUGUCUUCUUCAGACUAAGGGAGUCUCAUGAAUAAUGUGCCCAACGAUUGAAUGUAUGACAUACCUUGCG